UUGAAGAUGUGACCUGCUGACCUUAUUAAAAAUACAGUGCAUGGACUUUCCUACGAGCAGGUGAGAGAGAGUCAUCUGAAGACAGCUUAAGAUAGUCAUCUAAGUUAAGUUUACACUCACUGCCGGUCUCCUGUGGGGCUCUGACCACAAGCUGUGGUGAAUUUUGCUGUUGGGACUGAAGAAGUCGUGUCUGCCCUGGCCUGCAGGGCUCGUCGCCCCGGGAGGAGCAGUGAGGAGAGCAGGACCCCGUGCUCAUGCCGUGGCCGCUCCGCUCCAGGCAGCAGCCUGACCUGCCGAGGAAGUUUAGGAGUGAUGCUGCAUUGGGAUUCUAGUCAACAUCCACCAUAAUCAAUGGCUCUAAUCAAUAUUGCUCUGUUGGCAUCACACAUGGAAGAGAGCACAGUGCCUGGUCAGCACAAUGCAAGGACGGGACGAAAAUGAGAAAGAGAGAGACAGAGAGGCAGAAAGGAGACCGGAGACAAAUUAAAAAGUCAAGCUGAAAUAAGUGGAAAAGGCAAUCUUCAGGAGAAACUGAAAAGGUAACCCUACUUCAACUGUGCUUUCCUAUGUGUUGGGGACAGAAGGUUUCAAAUCCAUGUGUGGGACACUGAAAUCCUCCAGCAGUACCUGUCACAUGUUCACUGCUAAACGACUCUCAAAACCUCAAGAGCUCCUGUGAAAUGUGAGUGGUUUGUGUACUGCCUAGAAGGUCACAUACUAUGUGUGCUUUCCCUAUUCGCCAUUGAGUGCCAGCCCUCGGAUGACUUU